rnacentral:rRNA from 1 species
UACAGAGGGGGCAAGCGUUGUUCGGAAUUACUGGGCGUAAAGGGCGCGUAGGCGGCCUUCUAAGUCGAACGUGAAAUCCCCGGGCUCAACCCGGGAACUGCGUCCGAUACUGGGAGGCUUGAAUCCGGGAGAGGGAUGUGGAAUUCCAGGUGUAGCGGUGAAAUGCGUAGAUAUCUGGAGGAACACCGAAGGCGAAGGCAGUCUCCUGGCAAGUUACUGACGCUCAGGUGCGAAAGCUAGGGGAGCAAACGGG